CGGGCAGGACGCGGCGCACGGGACUACAAGUCCCGAGGAGCGCUGGGCGCUGCUCUUCCGGGCCGGGCGGCGGGGGGCAGCAGGCCCGGGCGCGAUGUGCCGGGACCGGGCACCGGCGCUGCGGCCGCCGCCGCCGCUGGGAGAGCAAGCUUCCCAUGACUAACAGAUGCUGGCCUAGAUUAUGAGCUCAAACAAGAGCGCUCGCUACAAUCGUUUCUCCAGUGGCACCACAAGCAUCACUACUGCUGAGAGCUCUAACGGGACAAGAAUGGAAACAACUUUUGGACCAGCCUUCUCUGCUGUGACCACCAUCACAAAGGCUGACGGGACCAACACUUUCAAGCAGCACCGUCGGACCCCGUCCUCCUCCAGCACCCUCACCUACUCCCCACGGGACGAGGAUGAUGGCAUGCCUCCCAUCAGCACCCCGCGCCGCUCCGACUCCGCCAUCUCCGUCCGCUCCUUGCACUCCGAGUCCAACAUGUCCCUGCGCUCCACGUUCUCACUCCAUGAGGAAGAGGAGGAGCCAGAGCCCCUGGUGUUUGCAGAGCAGCCCUCUGUGAAGCUGUGCUGCCAGCUGUGCUGCAGUGUCUUUAAGGAUCCCGUCAUCACAACCUGUGGGCACACGUUUUGCAGGAGAUGUGCCUUAACAUCUGAGAAGUGCCCCGUGGACAACGCCAAGCUGACGGUGGUGGUGAACAACAUCGCGGUGGCCGAGCAGAUUGGGGAGCUCUUCAUCCACUGCAAGUACGGCUGCCGGCCUGCUGCCAGCAGCAAGAACCCUGCCUUCGAGGUGGACCCCCGUGGCUGCCCCUUCACCAUCAAACUCAGUGCCAGGAAGGAUCAUGAGAGCAGCUGUGAUUACAGGCCCGUGCGCUGCCCCAACAACCCCAGCUGCCCUCCCCUCCUCAAAAUGAACCUGGAGGCUCACCUGAAGGAGUGUGAGCACAUCAAGUGUCCUCACUCCAAAUAUGGGUGUGCAUUCAUAGGAAACCAGGACACCUACGAGACCCACCUGGAGACGUGCAAGUUCGAGGGGCUGAAGGAGUUCCUGCAGCAGACGGACGAUCGCUUCCACGAGAUGCAGGUGGCCAUGGCCCAGAAGGACCAGGAGAUCGCCUUCCUGCGCUCCAUGCUGGGCAAACUCUCUGAGAAAAUCGACCAGCUGGAGAAGAACCUGGAGCUGAAGUUUGAUGUGCUGGAUGAGAACCAGAGCAAGCUGAGCGAGGACCUGAUGGAAUUCCGCAGGGACGCCUCCAUGCUGAACGAUGAGCUCUCCCACAUCAACGCUCGGCUCAACAUGGGCAUCCUUGGAUCCUAUGAUCCUCAGCAGAUCUUCAAGUGCAAGGGGACCUUUGUGGGCCACCAGGGCCCCGUGUGGUGUUUGUGUGUGUACUCCAUAGGAGACUUGCUCUUCAGUGGCUCCUCAGACAAAACCAUUAAGGUGUGGGAUACCUGUACCACUUACAAGUGCCAAAAGACCCUGGAGGGUCACGAUGGAAUUGUGCUGGCUCUCUGCAUCCAGGGGAACAAGCUGUACAGUGGCUCUGCUGACUGCACCAUCAUUGUCUGGGAUAUUCAGAACCUGCAGAAGGUGAACACGAUCCGAGCACACGACAAUCCUGUUUGCACUUUGGUCUCCUCACACAACAUGCUCUUCAGUGGCUCCCUCAAAGCCAUCAAGGUGUGGGAUAUUGUGGGAACUGAGCUCAAGCUGAAGAAGGAGCUGACAGGUCUCAACCACUGGGUCCGAGCACUGGUGGCUUCCCAGAACUAUCUGUACAGUGGAUCCUACCAGACCAUCAAGAUCUGGGACAUCCGGAACCUGGAGUGUGUGCACGUGCUGCAGACGUCGGGAGGCAGCGUCUACUCCAUCGCCGUGACCAACCACCACAUCGUGUGUGGCACCUACGAGAACCUCAUCCACGUGUGGGACAUCGAGACCAAGGAGCAGGUGCGCACGCUGACCGGGCACGUGGGCACAGUCUACGCCCUUGCCGUCAUCUCCACGCCCGAUCAAACCAAAGUCUUCAGCGCGUCCUACGACCGCUCGCUCAGGGUGUGGAGCAUGGACAACAUGAUCUGCACCCAGACCCUGCUGCGCCACCAGGGCAGUGUCACCGCCCUGGCCGUGUCCCGCGGCCGCCUCUUCUCCGGCGCCGUGGACAGCACUGUAAAGGUCUGGACGUGCUAACGAGAGCGUCACACGAGUCCUGCACACUGAAAGACCAAAAACUCUCCCUUCCAUCGGCCUGUGGGUGACCACACCACUGAAACGACUGCUGCAGCUCCUCCUGCACCGACCACUGCCUGCUGCUGCUGCCCCUCGGCCGGCGGCUCUCCGGACGGCUCUGCCCCACGGACGCUCCAGGUGUUCCCUCACAUCUGCCCCAGAUGAUUGGAAAAGAGGAAGCUCUUCCAGUGCCAGUGCCCUCCUCUGCCUGUGUCCCCCCGGCUGGGGACACCCCCAGGCUGGGGCUGGGGUGACACUGGGCCUGGGGGCUCAGUGCCAGUGCCAGGACUGGACAGAUCCGUGUGUCUGCUGGGCACAGGCUGGGCCCCUGUCCGUGGCAGGACUGAGCUUUAGGCUGUACCCUGGGUGGGCACCCGAACCCUUUCUGUCUCUAGUAUUUAAUUUACUGCCAAGGCGCCGGGCCGAUCCAGCUGGGAAGAGGUGUUUCCUUGAGUAGCCAGAAAUUUCAAAGUUGUGCCAAACACAUCUGGAUCAGCGACCACAACAGGAGAGACGGGGGAGAGACAGGGAAGGGAGGGAGAGGGAAGGAGGGAGAGACCACUCCACGUCUCGAGAGAAAGAAAGGAACAGCAACACUUUUGUUUGGAAACCACAAGCAAAAAAUGCAUUCAUCAGGACUCAAGCGACUGAACCAGACUCCAACUCCAGUUUGUACAGGAAUAUACAGCGGAGCAUCCCGCGGGACGCACCGGGCACACGCACCCCGCGUGCACACCCACGCACACCCACACGCACCCAGACACAGACCGACAGCAAAAGCGAGGGAAAGAAACCGAACCAAACCCUGAAGACACUCCAAAAGAAAUGAAACACCUCCGGUGUGAGAAUUAACAAAAACCUCCAUAAAACAAGGCACAUCCUUUGAGUUCGUAACGGUGGAAAAAGAAAGACGCGACACUGAAUCCCAACGGAAAACCCGACCAGAACCGCUCGCACGUACCUUCCACCCAGAGAAAAGCUUAUCACCGUCCUGUCCCCAGGCGGGGAGGGGCCGGGCAGGGGCACGUCCCGCUGCCCCCAGGGCCACCGCCAGCCUUGCCCGCCCCCGCCAACGCCGACCGAGAAAAGAAAACAAAAUUUAAAAAUCAAAAUAAAAAACGGAGCAAAGAAA